AAGCGUGCGCAGGCGGUUAUAUAAGACAGAUGUGAAAUCCCCGGGCCUCAACCUGGGAACUGCAUUUGUGACUGUAUAGCUGGAGUGCGGCAGAGGGGGAUGGAAUUCCGCGUGUAGCAGUGAAAUGCGUAGAUAUGCGGAGGAACACCGAUGGCGAAGGCAAUCCCCUGGGCCUGCACUGACGCUCAUGCACGAAAGCGUGGGGAGCAAACAGGAUUAGAUACCCCUGU
rnacentral:rRNA from 1 species